UUGGAGGGCAAGUCUGGUGCCAGCAGCCGCGGUAAUUCCAGCUCCAAUAGCGUAUAUUAAAGUUGUUGCAGUUAAAAAGCUCGUAGUUGAAUUUCGGGAUCAAUAUUUCGGUCAUGCCGUUGGUAUGCACUGUUAUCAUUGAUUUCUCACCUUCUAAAGAACCGUAAUGCCAUUAAUUUGGUGUUACGGGGAAUUAGGACUGUUACCUUGAAAAAAUUAGAGUGUUUAAAGCAGGCUCACGCUUGAAUACAUUAGCAUGGAAUAAUGAAAUAGGACAUCCGAUUCUAUUUUGUUGGUUUCUAGGAUCGAUGUAAUGAUUAAUAGGGAUAGUUGGGGGCAUUAGUAUUCAAUUGUCAGAGGUGAAAUUCUUGGAUUUAUUGAAGACUAACUACUGCGAAAGCAUUUGCCAAGGAUGUUUUCAUUAAUCAAGAACGAAAGUUAGGGGAUCGAAGACGAUCAGAUACCGUCGUAGUCUUAACCAUGAACUAUGCCGACUAGGGAUCGGAUGAUGUUAAUUUUUUAAUGACUCAUUCGGCGCCUUACGGGAAACCAAAGUGUUUGGGUUC
rnacentral:rRNA from 1 species